GAUGAACGCUGGCGGCGUGCUUAACACAUGCAAGUCGAACGAUGAAGCCCAGCUUGCUGGGUGGAUUAGUGGCGAACGGGUGAGUAACACGUGAGUAACCUGCCCUUAACUCUGGGAUAAGCCUGGGAAACUGGGUCUAAUACCGGAUAGGAGCGUCCACCGCAUGGUGGGUGUUGGAAAGAUUUAUCGGUUUUGGAUGGACUCGCGGCCUAUCAGCUUGUUGGUGAGGUAAUGGCUCACCAAGGCGACGACGGGUAGCCGGCCUGAGAGGGUGACCGGCCACACUGGGACUGAGACACGGCCCAGACUCCUACGGGAGGCAGCAGUGGGGAAUAUUGCACAAUGGGCGCAAGCCUGAUGCAGCGACGCCGCGUGAGGGAUGACGGCCUUCGGGUUGUAAACCUCUUUCAGUAGGGAAGAAGCGAAAGUGACGGUACCUGCAGAAGAAGCACCGGCUAACUACAUG
rnacentral:rRNA from 1 species